UCUGCCCCUGGAGGUGUUGCAGGUAUGACUGCUGUGUCACAUGUACUUCAGUAGGUGGCAGAGAGGAGAGGGGUUAUGUCUAUCCUCAAUGUUCUGACCUAUAAACUUCUGAAUGAUUAGUAACCUAACAUU